UACGGGGGGGGGCAAGCGUUGUUCGGAAUUACUGGGCGUAAAGGGCUCGUAGGCGGCCAACUAAGUCGGAUGUGAAAAUCCCCCAGGCUCAACUUGGGGAACUGCAUCCGAUACUGGAUGGCUUGAAUUCGGGAGAGGGAUGCAGAAUUCCAGGUGUAGCGGUGAAAAUGCGUAGAUAUCUGGAGGAAUACCGGUGGCGAAGGCGGCAUCCUGGACCGGCAUUGACGCUGAGGCGCGAAAAGCUAGGGGGAGCAAACGGGG
rnacentral:rRNA from 1 species